ACAAUACAGCCUACUUCCUGUUUCAUGGUGUUUGUUUCAUAAUCACUGCAUGGAUUCUUGAAUUAGGAUUGCCCAGUGAUUUCCCGCAAGAGAUUCGAAGCUUUGGAGCCCCAAACAAAGGAAGUGCUGUGACACCUAGUGGCCUGGAAAACUACAUCAGCUCCUCAGCACUGGGACCAAAUAUCCAACGAACCUCACUGGUUUUAAAUUUGGCCAUCUCAGUGUCAAACGUAUGCAGUAAAGCUGUGUUUAUCACUGAGGUUAUCGCUGCUGGUUCUUCAGAAACAUACUGUGUGAAUGCAAUGUUGGCAGGACCUGUUUGACAGAGAGAGAGAGAGAGAGAGUUUCAUAAUCAGCAAUGUGAGCUUUCCUCAGCUUCAUGGUGAAAAAAAUGACCACCACCAGAAGAGCAACGAUGAGGCAUGUCACCAGGAACACCAGUA